rnacentral:misc_RNA from 1 species
UCUCCGUAGGUGAACCUGCGGAGGGAUCAAUAAUACAAUUAAAAAAUCAAAAAACUUUAAACUUUUAUAGAUUAUUCAAUCUUAAAAGUUAACUUAUCUUCAAUUAAAAACUUAUUAACGAGUUGGUAUUAACAACUCGAGACAAUGGAUUCCUUGGGUCUC